CCUACGGGAGGCAGCAGUGGGGAAUAUUGGACAAUGGGGGGAACCCUGAUCCAGCGACGCCGCGUGAGUGAAGAAGUAUUUCGGUAUGUAAAGCUCUAUCAGCAGGGAAGAAAGAAAUGACGGUACCUGAAUAAGAAGCCCCCGCUAACUACGGGCCAGCAGCCGCGGUAAUACGUAGGGGGCAAGCGUUAUCCGGAUGGACGGGGUGUAAAGGGAGCGUAGACGGCGAUGCAAGUGGGAAGGGAAAGGCGGGGGCCCAAACCUUGGACUGCUUUGGAAACUGUGUGGCUGGAGUGCAGGAGAGGUAAGUGGAAUUCCUAGUGUAGCGGUGAAAUGCGGAGAUAUUAGGAGGAACACCAGUGGCGAAGGCGGCUUACUGGACUGUAACUGACGUUGAGGCUCGAAAGCGUGGGGAGCAAACAGGAUUAGAUACCCGAGUAGUC
rnacentral:rRNA from 1 species